GCGGGGAUAGCUCAGUUGGGAGAGCGUCAGACUGAAGUCAAAUAACUCCAGUUGCAUAUCUGAAGGUCGUGUGUUCAAUCCACACUCACCGCA